rnacentral:rRNA from 1 species
GGCUCAGAUUGAACGCUGGCGGCAUGCCUUACACAUGCAAGUCGAACGGCAGCACGGGUGCUUGCACCUGGUGGCGAGUGGCGAACGGGUGAGUAAUACAUCGGAACGUACCCUUAUCGUGGGGGGAUAACGCAGCGAAAGCUGUGCUAAUACCGCAUACGCCCUGAGGGGGAAAGCGGGGGAUCGAAAGACCUCGCGCGAUUAGAGCGGCCGAUGCCUGAUUAGCUUGUUGGUGGGGUAAAAGCCCACCAAGGCGACGAUCAGUAGCUGGUCUGAGAGGACGAUCAGCCACACUGGGACUGAGACACGGCCCAGACUCCUACGGGAGGCAGCAGUGGGGAAUUUUGGACAAUGGGGGAAACCCUGAUCCAGCAAUGCCGCGUGAGUGAAGAAGGCCUUCGGGUUGUAAAGCUCUUUUGUCAGGGAAGAAACACCGGCUCUAACACAGUCCGGGAAUGACGGUACCUGAAGAAUAAGCACCGGCUAACUACGUG